AACUCUCUGGGGAAAGCUGCAGUUCUGCUGUUAAAACACAAGGAGCAGCCUGGAGAAUUUUGAGCUGCGUCACACAGCUCAGAGGGAGAGAGAGAGAGAGAGAACAAGCUCUGUCGAUAGGUCUACUAGCAACAGCCCUGCUGCAGUGAGAGAGAGACAGAGAGAUCAUGAGAGAGAAGUAAUAACAACAUUGUGCAGCGUGGUUCUUUCAGCCAUCCAGCAUCUUUUCAAAAAGAAAUAUUAUUUGGGGACUCAUUUCGUACCGAUGGAUUUGUCCAUUGAUGAUACCGGAAAGAUACAACACAGUUAAUCCCGCAAUGGAGGGGGGGGGGCAAGCGUAGGAAGGGUUAAUAGGAGGACAAUUCUGGAAUGUUCUAUCCUGCGGCGAAGUGAGCAGAGGGCUGAGGACUUCACAGGUGUAGACAUACUGAUCUCAUGGUUCCUUGUUUUCUUUACUAUGGGUCGUUCCUCUGCAGGGCUGGCUCCUCCAGAGGCAGUCUUGCAUCCUGCAGCGCUAGUUCCGCAGAGGAGGCAAUGGGAGACUCAACUAUGAUGGCCAUUCUGGUUAGGGUUGGAUUCGCUACUGAGACUGCAUUUGUUCCUGGCAGGAGCAGGGAGAAUUUAACGCAGCUGGGACAUCUCACCUAGCUUAAAGAUGGACUCUGAAGCAGAAAGCUACCAAGAACACCACUAAAUUCAAUACGUGUAAAUAAAGUGAAGAAGCAAGUUUGCAGAAUUCCUGGCUAUUAAUAUUCUUCCAGUUUAAUAUGGCCGAAUGACAAACAUCUUCCCUGGUGUCUGCAUGGUCCACCACCAACUGGCUGAAUAAUAUGACCUACAGAAUUAUCCACUUAAAGUGAAACAGAAGAAUAUGGAUCUUAGGAGAAAAACCAAUUUAUGUACUGUUCUGCAUCUUGACUUCCAGUGUAUCAUGAGAUAUUCUUACAGAAAUAGCCAUCAAUCAGGCAUAUUUUGAAGAACAGAAGGAGAUCCAGAUGGAAGAAAUAACUGAAUACUAUUUAUAAAAAAAUUAUACUGGAGAUGGAAUGAAGAAACUGAAAGAAUAAAUGAAGAAAAAAGGAAGACCACCAAGAACAGAAACUUUAAGAACACCAGCAAGAGAAGAAAAGGAAGUAAAAAAAUGAGCCAUUAACAGAAGCAUAAAAGUGGUGUUAGUCUGAUAAGAUUGAAACCAAGAAAGGAGAAAACAAGUGAAAGUAAUGUGAAGAAGCAACAAAAUCAUUACAUGACAUAGAACAGAGUGCAUAAGAAAGGUCAAGAAUAAAAGCAUGUUAGAGUGGAAGGAGCCCCAUUGUGCAGAGCGGUAAGCUGUAGUACUGUCAAAGCUCUGCUCACAACCUGUAUUUGAUCUGGUUCAGGUAGCCUGCUCAAGGUUGACUCAGGCUUCCGUCCUUUUCAGGUUGACUCAGCCUUCCAUUUUUCCAAAGUUGGUAGGUAGCCUGCUGGGGUAAAACAUAGAUGGCUGGGAAAGGUAAUGACAAACCAUCUUGUAAAACAUAGUCUCCCUGGUAAAUAUCAUGAUGUAAUGUCACCACAUGGGUCACUAAUGACCCAGUGCUUGCACAGGGGACUUCCUUUUUCUUUUAAAAAGUAGAAUGAAACUGACUGGAAGGGAUCAAGAAGGGAGUUAGAUACAAUAUUGAGAAGAAACAAAAUUAAUAUUUAUUUAUUUUUAAAGAAAAAAAUUAGGCUGCCUCUUUAGGAACCUGUUUGAGGCAGCUUACCAAAUGAAUAAAAUAAUAAAACAAAUAAUUAAAAGUUACUAAUUAAAAUCCAGCAUUAAAUUUUAGGAGGUUUGACAGAAAUGAAGCAAACAGAAGACAAUAAUUAGAGCAGGGGUUUCCAACAUGAUGUGGUGCCCACCAACACCUUUCCUAGUGGCUCACCAAGCAUAUUUAGAUAGGGGCCAGGUGGCUUCCGAUGUUCCUAUGUCACAUGAAGCUUGCUGGGUGACCUUGGGCCGGUCCCAGUUCUUUCAGAACUUUUUCAGCCCAGGCAGAGGCAGGCAAUGGCAAACCAUCUCUUUUCUUGAAAACCCCACCAGAGGUUGUCAUAAGUCAGCAGUGACUUGAUGGCGUGCACACAUGCACACACGCAAAAAAUGCUUAGGACAGAGAAGGGGAGGUAAGCAUCUGCCUCACCGGAGAGUCGAAAGAGAAUUAGUUUGAUCAUUUUCUGUAAAUUGAGCAGAUGACCAAUUUCCUCUGAAUGGGCUCUCACUGCCCUGCCUAGGUCAAGAAGGCCAAACCCAGCUGCUGAGCCCACUUAGUCGCCCCCUCCACCCACCAAAGUCAAGUUGCACAAGGAGGCAGCACCCACCAAACCGACUUCGGGGAAGAAGUCACAGCGCAGGCUGGAUACCAUCGUGCUGGAAGAUAUCAAAGAGCACAUGAAGCAGCUGCAAAAAGCCAUCUCUAAGGAGCCUCAUUACGUUCUUUGAGCCCUGAGAGCACUACCCUCCACCUCCCAUCACCUCAAUCCCAGUGUGCUUUGGAAAGCCACCAAUGUUUUUUUUCCACAUCCAACAGUGCUGUCCAGUUUCCCCUAAACACUUGAGUAGAGUUUCUGAUCUUCUGCCUGUAGGCCAAUGGUCCCUUAAAAGAGCUGUGUUCUCUCAGGGGUUUGCUUUGACCCUGGAUGUAUACCUUCAGCAACAGUGUGAUAGGCAUGGUUAACAUCUGUUGUAUUGAGCCCACUGUUAUUAAUCCUUUAACUGAAGCUAAAAAAAAUUGUCUCUGCAGUUACUCAGUGGUAUGAAAAAAAAAAGAUUAAUAUAAAAUGGUUAAUAUAAAAUGAUGUAAAA